rnacentral:rRNA from 1 species
AUUGAACGCUGGCGGCAUGCCUAACACAUGCAAGUCGAACGAGUGGCGGACGGGUGAGUAAUGUCUGGGUAACUGCCUGAUGGCGGGGGAUAACUACUGGAAACGGUAUCUAAUACCGCCUACCAUCUGAUGUGCCCAGAUGGGAUUAGCUAGUAGGUGGGGUAAAGGCUCACCUAGGCGACGAUCCCUAGCUGGACUGAGAGGAUGACCAGCAACACGGGAACGGAGACACGGGCCAGACUCCUACGGGAGGCAGCAGUGGGGAAUAUUGCACAAUGGGCGCAAGCCUGAUGCAGCCAUGCCGCGUGUAUGAAGAAGGCCUUCGGGUUGUAAAGUACUUUCAGCGGGGAGGCGUUACCCGCAGAAGAAGCACCGGCUAACUCCGUGCCAGCAGCCGCGGUAAUUC